AGUGAACGCUGGCGGUAGGCCUAGCACAUGCAAGUCGAACGGCAGCACAGUAAGAGCUUGCUCUUACGGGUGGCGAGUGGCGGACGGGUGAGGAAUACAUCGGAAUCUACUUUUUCGUGGGGGAUAACGUAGGGAAACUUACGCUAAUACCGCAUACGACCUACGGGUGAAAGCAUGGGAUCUUCGGACCUUGCGCGAUUGAAUGAGCCGAUGUCGGAUUAGCUAGUUGGCGGGGUAAAGGCCCACCAAGGCGACGAUCCGUAGCUGGUCUGAGAGGAUGAUCAGCCACACUGGAACUGAGACACGGUCCAGACUCCUACGGGAGGCAGCAGUGGGGAAUAUUGGACAAUGGGCGCAAGCCUGAUCCAGCCAUACCGCGUGUGUGAAGAAGGCCUUCGGGUUGUAAAGCCCUUUUGUUGGGAAAGAAAAGCAGCAGGUUAAUACCCCGCUGUUCUGACGGUACCCAAAGAAUAAGCACCGGCUAACUUCGUG
rnacentral:rRNA from 1 species